rnacentral:rRNA from 1 species
CAAGUCGAGGGGCAGCAUGGUCUUAGCUUGCUAAGGCCGAUGGCGACCGGCGCACGGGUGAGUAACACGUAUCCAACCUGCCGAUGACUCGGGGAUAGCCUUUCGAAAGAAAGAUUAAUACCCGAUGGCAUAGUUUUCCCGCAUGGGAUAAUUAUUAAAGAAUUUCGGUUGUCGAUGGGGAUGCGUUCCAUUAGUUUGUUGGCGGGGUAACGGCCCACCAAGACAACGAUGGAUAGGGGUUCUGAGAGGAAGGUCCCCACAUUGGAACUGAGACACGGUCCAAACUCC